rnacentral:rRNA from 1 species
GACGAACGCUGGCGGCGUGCCUAAUACAUGCAAGUAGAACGCUGAAGGAGGAGCUUGCUUCUCUGGAUGAGUUGCGAACGGGUGAGUAACGCGUAGGUAACCUGCCUGGUAGCGGGGGAUAACUAUUGGAAACGAUAGCUAAUACCGCAUAAUAGCAGUUGUUGCAUGUUAACUGUUGGAAAGGUGCAAUUGCACCACUACCAGAUGGACCUGCGUUGUAUUAGCUAGUUGGUGGGGUAACGGCUCACCAAGGCGACGAUACAUAGCCGACCUGAGAGGGUGAUCGGCCACACUGGGACUGAGACACGGCCCAGACUCCUACGGGAGGCAGCAGUAGGGAAUCUUCGGCAAUGGACGGAAGUCUGACCGAGCAACGCCGCGUGAGUGAAGAAGGUUUUCGGAUCGUAAAGCUCUGUUGUAAGAGAAGAACGAGUGUGAGAGUGGAAAGUUCACACUGUGACGGUAUCUUACCAGAAAGGGACGGCUAACUACGUG